UUAGCCAACUUCUUCACUUUCUCAGUUCAUACAUCUUUGCACUACCUUGCAGUACCUGAAUCCCGCAGGAAAGGGGGAAGAGGAGAGAAAAGCAGAGCUUUGCACCUCAUUUACAGUUUCUCUUUUUCCUCACGGGAGCGAGCGGCAGGGCGCUGGAUGAUGGCUGGAGGCACCCUGCAGCAGCAGACUGACGACCCGCGGCCAGCACGGUACGGUCACGGGGAGCAGCGAGCUGGGGGUGCCGAGGGAGAGCCCACUGCUCUAACACACGCAUUGGUACUGCAGAUGAGUAGCAAACUGGUCGUGGUUGUGAAAGACAGUUGGGAUUUAGAAAAGGUGAUUUAGAAAAUGCUGAUUUGCUUAGCUAGUUGUUUUUUGGCGGGCUCCUCCACUUAUGGAGGAGUUGGAGGAAAUACACAGGGGCCCAUAAAUCAAAAGAAGUUUGAAAGUCACUGGCAAAGCUGGAAAAUUUGGCUGCUUUUGGAAAUAGCCAAGAGCUUAGUGGAAGAGGUAGGUUCAAAUUUCUGCUCUGCCUGAUUCACAGGGGCUUGAAGCUGAGCUUCCCGCUGCCUGGAAGAGUGUUUCCACCUUCAAGAGCUGCGAAAGUGUUCAGGAGUGGGGCUGUCUGCCUCUGGUUUUGUGAACAGUUUGUUAAAGGUCUUGGAUCUACCCUGAUUUGAAAAAAGAAAGAAAAAAAAGGAAGAAAUUUGUUGUGGCAUAGGAAAGCUGCUUUCUUCCCAAGUCCAAUGAUGACACUGGCAUAUGACUUUUUAAAGUGUGUGCUGUGUCUUCUGUACAAAUAAUUGUAUCUUUUAAAAAAUAUUUUGCCAUUUAUUAAUUCAGUUUUAUUUAUUAAUAGAUUAGUAGCUUAUUCCUAGUUAGAGAGAAUCACUGUAUAUAUUAACUAGACAUGCUUUUUGUAGGGCCAUUUAAACUUGCCAUGCAAAUACCUUCUUGAGACAGAUUUCUACAACAGUUCUCAGCUAUUUCAUGCACCCCCAGGAUGAAAAUCUUUUGGUUUAGCAUUUUUUCUUUGUGGAUAUAAAGAUUGGUUUUUUUUUCUUCCCCUGCUUCCUCCUCAUGUACACAUACACCUCAGGCCCAAUGCACAUGUGGGAGAAUCUUCCCUUGCACUUCUGCUACCCCAGAGUCUGCUGGUGACUUCACGUAUUUCUGCUGAGCCCCGUUUGUCCAUUAACAAUAAAAUCACGGUGGAAUUUCUACCCAAUAACUGAGCAUGUUUGCAAGAGCGGAUGUGUAUUUAUACAGGAACGCGUGGUUGGCUUACGGGUGCAAAGCCUGCCCUUUGCCUGCGACAUGCAGUUGGCUUUCCAAAUGAUUUCCCUCUCAUAGCCGAUAGACGUUGACUUUGGCAGCAUCAUUAGUGAUAGACCAUAUAUCAUGGUUAAUCAUAUCUGCUGAAAGGCUUUAAAGACUUCUCGUAUCCUUCUCAAUAAAAAAGAUGUAUUUUCUCAUUCGAGUGAUUUUUACCAUAGGUCUCUAGUGCGUGGUCAUUAAAUAUGCUUUCAACCCUAUUUAGCUGCACUUUGUAUCCUUAAAUGGAUGUAUGUCUGAAGAGUGCAGUAUUUGUACGGGGCCAAAUUAAAAUAUACAGUUUUGCCUCUUGCUUUAAAGAAAACUUAAUAAUUAAGCUCAGAUUGACACAGAUCAAAACAUUGGCAAAAAUCGCUGGAAACAGUGACUCAAUUUUUAUUUCAAUUAACAGUUUCUCAGUUUCACAUAUAAACAGUGAAACUGUCAAAAAUAAUUAUCACAGAGGGAGGAAAAACCUAUUUCACUCCAAGGUAAGGAAAACAGGCUAAAACAAUAGCUGUGUGUACUGAUCAGGCUAUCAAUGAACCGAAGUGAAUCAGAGAGCUUUUUUCUUCUCUUGGCAGGAAUCCUGUUAGUAGUUAUUUUUACGUUCUUCGAAAUAUUAAUACAUUUACUUGUCUAAUAACCUCUGUUUGUUGAGGAAAGCUUUCAGCUUACAAAUGUUGUAAGGACAGAAGUAUUUCAAAAUGCUUUUUUUAAAAAAUGUGUUUGUACAGUGGAAAGAGAAAAGUUACGGGACUUUCAAAAUUAUCAGAGACAUUUUGUUAACUAAUCACACUUACAAUCCGAAUUCUGAUUCCAAACAUUUGCUUUAAAAAUCCUCUGUGGCUCUUUUUGGCACUUAUUAUGAUUUUUAACUUGGGUUUGGGGUUUUUGCCUUUUUCCUGACAAAUUCAGGUGAAUCUGAACUAGUUAUAAAAUUGCAGAUUUCUUUUUGUUGCUCAUAAAUUCUGGCAUAUGAAUACAGGGGGAAGAAAGUUUCUUAAACAUAUGCGGAACUUUAUCUGAAAUAUUGGCAUGUUGACUCAUCUCCUGCGAAGAAGAAUGAAAUUAUAACAUUCUCCUGCUUCUUUAUUUUUUGUUUCCUACCCUAUGUUGUAUGUUUCCCAGGAUACGUUUCAGGUUCAUGAGUUUAAUCUGAGAUAAAUAGUCCUGUCUGGGUAUUGUUUCCACUGUUUGGUAAGACCAUAUGGAAUUUUUACUUCCCAUAUUUUGAGUAAUUUGUGUAUUUAUUCAAUGUUAUAUCCUCGUUUUGCUGUUGAGAAUGUAAGUAAAAGCCAGUUUCCUGGGGCUGAGAAGACAGGGUUGGGUAGAGUUUGUGUUCAGCUGCAGGCUCCAGCCUAGGCUGAGUUUUAAGCCCAUGAAUAAUCUCCCCAGAGCUGCUGAGAUCACUCGUACGCCUAACGCGUGUGUCGCAGUUUGACUCGGUUUGACCCCGUUUGACUCCAGAGUGAAGGAAAUGAUGCCUCGGUUGACCAUAGCUGUUUGUUUCUAAUUCGUCUGCAUUUACAUACCCUCCGUGUCUGCUUUUCAUUAACAUGUGAGACUUUAGCGGGGGAUUUUUCACAAACAGUUACCACUGGCCAAACUAAACUCCACUGGGCACAGUUGGACACCAUCAAGUGCUUUUGAAAAACUGCCCGUGUUUCUCCUUUCAGACAAACUCCCCGCAGAGCUUGUGUGCUGACAAUCACUCGUGGCCGAUACUCAUGCUUGUAUCUUCUCCAUCGGUCCGUUCAUGCUCAUCUGAGAAGCAACAUUUUUUUCCCCUGCUUUUUCUGAGAUGUGUAGGUAGUUUGGGAGCGUUACUGUGAAAAACGGAUGAAACGUCAGACCAAUUGUAUGAUCAAAGGUAAAAGAGCUUCAGAGAUAACGUUUCCUGCGUGCACGCAUGCAUUUUUGGAAAUAAGGCCCUGGCUGAAUAUCCUAUUGCUUACUAGCAAAUGUUUUGUCUCCAUGUCAAUGCCAGAAUUUUAAUUGCAUUUCUCCCUGACAUUAGAUACGUAGUCUAAGAAACUGAUGUUGCACUGCAGCUGGAAGCUGACAUGAGACUGAAGUGACACAUCCUUCGCUGUGGAAUAUUUGUCUCCAGCUGUGCCUUCGCAGGGUGGGUUACAGAGACGGCACCUGUGCGCGCCGGGGUAGCAGCAGCCAGGGAGGAUUCCCUGCCAUAACAUUUGUCUGUGAAACACAUACUUUCUCCCUGAGGAAAUGGGCUUAUGUCAACAAAAAUGGAAACUUCAAAAAAAUAUAUAUGGAGUGCUGGGAAAAGCUAAGCAUCUUUGCUCUUAAAUGUGCGGGGUGAUUAAUUUCAUGUGCCAUAUCCCUCACACACACAUUCUUCUUCUUUGCCAAAAGCUGAAUGUAAUUGGAAGCCUAUGAAUGUCCAUAGUUGCCAGACAGCUUAAAAUUGAGAUACUGUGAAAUGCAAACAAAUGGAAAUGUUUCUCUCUUGUGUAAAUAUGCAAGAAUUAUUAAGCAUUAAAUACCAAUUGCAAGGAGAAUCGUUUAAGAUGGUCAAAGAUGAACCUGAGGUGGCUCUUGCGCACAAACCUGGAGCAGGAGUCCCGUUAGAGUGGCCUGGACAAGCGGGUUCUGUUCCACACACUGAUUUUGCACCCCCUUGGUCAGUUAGUGUUGCAGCAGCUUCCUAAAAAAGCUGUAGGAAGAUACAAUCCUUCACACAGAUGCCCUCACAUAGGAGUAAGAGUAAUUUGUGUUCAUAUAACUUACUUUCUUUUCCGGAUGGAACUAAAUCACACUGAUCCAAAAUAACAUUUCUGUUGAUGUAGUUGUGUCCACACUAGGGAAGGUAAUGGUUUAGCUAGGUGGGCAGAGCACAAGCAGCUUGUAGAUACCAAGAAGCUCCAAGAUGAGAGAAGACAUGACAAGUCUUGCUGGUAUUCUUACUGUCAGGGCAUCAAUGGCUUGCUUCAGUGAAGGAAAAUUACUUGUAUGCACCCAGGUUGUUCUUUCACUCCCUUGCAUUUUCUUCUUACAUUCAGGUACUGCUUAGCUACACCAGGGCAAAGAGCAAAGGAGCUUGAGAGGCUCAGGCCAUGUGGGGUCUGUUGUCAUCUUUGCUGAAAGUCUGCCAGGUAAGUAAUUUUUCUUCUGUGCCUCCAUUUACCAUCCCUCAUUUUUUAUUCUUAGUUAUUUAGCUUACAAGGUCUUCAGAACACGCACAGUUCAUAACUAUGUGUCAGUAAAGUUCCCAGGACACUAAAAUGCUGAUUUUUGUCAAGAUGAGAGGGUAACAUGGCUACAGAAUAAAUUAGGAAAAGAGACGGCUAAACUAAACUUAGCUGCAGCCUGAAAAUAAAGAAAAUCGCGCUUAUUGAAGAAAAUUUGCGUUUUACAAGAACUGUGCCUUACAGACUGAAAAUACAAACCUCCUUUACAAAAAGACAAUUGUACCAUUACCAUUUUUGUGAACACAUCUGGUCAAUGUUGAUGUGUAUCUUUUCUUUUUGUUACAGACUAAAAUGUUUUUGAGUAAUCUCUUCUGACCCACCAUUGCUCCUCUUUGUUUAGCGUUCAAUUCUGUCAGCCCCUUCAAAAUGUAGUGUUCGCCUAAGCUGCCAUUACGUUGAAUAAUACAUGCAUAUGAUUUAAUCCAAGCUGUCUCCUGCAGUUAGUCGCCUUCUGGAAAGUGUCCAGGUGUUGCUUGAAAAGAGAUGGCUGGGAAAGAAAUAAACAAUUUCACUUGA